AGGCAGCAGUGAGGAAUAUUGGACAAUGGAUGGAAAUCUGAUCCAGUCAUGUUGCGUGCAGGAUUCCUGCCUUAUGGGUUGUAUUCUGCUUUUAUACGGGAGCAAUAAGGGUU
rnacentral:rRNA from 1 species